rnacentral:rRNA from 1 species
UACGGAGGAUCCAAGCGUUAUCCGGAAUCAUUGGGUUUAAAGGGUCCGUAGGUUGAUAAUUAAGUCAGAGGUGAAAGUUUGUCGCUUAACGAUAAAAUUGCCUUUGAUACUGGUUGUCUUGAGUUACAUUGAAGUAGAUGGAAUGUGUAGUGUAGCGGUGAAAUGCAUAGAUAUUACACAGAACACCGAUUGCGAAGGCAGUCUACUAAGUGUACACUGACGCUGAUGGACGAAAGCGUGGGGAGCGAACAGG